UCCCUGAUAGCUCAGUUGGUAGAGCAUACGGCUGUUAACCGUAGUGUCACAGGUUCGAGUCCUGUUCGGGGAGCCA
rnacentral:tRNA from 1 species